GAUGAACGCUGGCGGCGUGCCUAAUACAUGCAAGUCGUGCGGAAAGGCCCUUCGGGGUACUCGAGUGGCGGACGGCUGAGUAACGCGUGGGAACGUGCCCCAAAGUGAGGGAUAACGCACCGAAAGGUGUGCUAAUACCGCAUAUGGUCUUCGGAUUAAAGCUUCGGCGCUUUGGGAGCGGCCCGCGUACGAUUAGAUAGUUGGUGAGGUAAUGGCUCACCAAGUCGACGAUCGUUAGCUGGUCUGAGAGGAUGGUCAGCCAGACUGGGACUGAGACACGGCCCAGACUCCUACGGGAGGCAGCAGUAAGGAAUCUUCCACAAUGGGGGCAACCUUGAUGGAGCAACGCCGCGUGCAGGAUGAAGGUUUUCGGAUCGUAAACUGCUUUUAUAAGUGAAGAAUAUGACGGUAACUUAUGAAUAAGGAUCGGCUAACUACGUGCCAGCCGCCGCCGUAA
rnacentral:rRNA from 1 species